GCCUCAUACAGGGGGAUAACAGUUAGAAAUGACUGCUAAUACCGCAUAAGCACACGUGAUCGCAUGAUCGAGUGUGAAAAACUCCGGUGGUAUGAGAUGGACCCGCGUCUGAUUAGCUAGUUGGUGGGGUAACGGCCCACCAAGGCGACGAUCAGUAGCCGGCCUGAGAGGGUGAACGGCCACAUUGGGACUGAGACACGGCCCAAACUCCUACGGGAGGCAGCAGUGGGGAAUAUUGCACAAUGGGGGAAACCCUGAUGCAGCGACGCCGCGUGAAGGAUGAAGUAUUUCGGUAUGUAAACUUCUAUCAGCAGGGAAGAAAAUGACGGUACCUGACUAAGAAGCCCCGGCUAACUACGUGCCAGCAGCCGCGGUAAUACGUAGGGGGCAAGCGUUAUCCGGAUUUACUGGGUGUAAAGGGAGCGUAGACGGCAGUGCAAGUCUGAAGUGAAAGCCCGGGGCUCAACCCCGGGACUGCUUUGGAAACUGUGCAGCUAGAGUGUCGGAGAGGCAAGCGGAAUUCCUAGUGUAGCGGUGAAAUGCGUAGAUAUUAGGAGGAACACCAGUGGCGAAGGCG
rnacentral:rRNA from 1 species